CUGAGAAUUCUCAAAGGAUGAUGCUGUUGGGGACACUGGGCACUACACUAGGUAACUCAGGAGGGUGGAAAACCACGAGUGUCGAGGAAGCCCUCCUGCUCUAGGCCCGGAUAAACCAAGGCCCCUUUGCUCCUUGAACCCUCUGUGAUCCGGCAUAACACUGAAGAAGCUAGCACAUAAACAGACAGGUUUGCACACAGCUCGCCAGCCAAGGCCAGCUUUGGCCUAAAAAACAAAUAAAUAAGGCAAAAAUGUUUAGCAAAAACCAGUAACAAAUAAAACCAAAUAAGGCAAG